rnacentral:rRNA from 1 species
UACGUAGGUGGCGAGCGUUGUCCGGAUUUAUUGGGCGUAAAGCGCGCGCAGGUGGUGCGGUAAGUCUGUCGUGAAAUCUCCCGCUCAACUGGGAGGGUGCGUGGAGACUGCCGGACUGGAGGCACUCAGAGGCCGGUGGAAUUCCCGGUGUAGUGGUGAAAUGCGUAGAGAUCGGGAGGAACACCAGUGGCGAAGGCGGCCGGCUGGGGGUGACCUGACGCUGAGCGCGAAGACGUGGGGAGCGAAACCGG